rnacentral:rRNA from 1 species
AAGCAGGGGAUCGUAAGACCUUGCGCUCUUGGAGUGGCCGAUGCCUGAUUAGCUAGUUGGUGGGGUAAGGGCCUACCAAGGCGACGAUCAGUAGUUGGUCUGAGAGGACGACCAGCCACACUGGGACUGAGACACGGCCCAGACUCCUACGGGAGGCAGCAGUGGGGAAUUUUGGACAAUGGGCGAAAGCCUGAUCCAGCAAUGCCGCGUGAGUGAAGAAGGCCUUCGGGUUGUAAAGCUCUUUCAGUCGAGAAGAAAAGGUUGCGACUAAUAAUCGCAACUUAUGACGGUAUCGACAGAAGAAGCACCGGCUAACUACGUGCCAGCAGCCGCGGUAAUACGUAGGGUGCGAGCGUUAAUCGGAAUUACUGGGCGUAAAGGGUGCGCAGGCGGCUCUGUAAGUCAGAUGUGAAAUCCCCGGGCUUAACCUGGGAAUUGCGUUUGAAACUACAAAGCUUAGAGU